GAGUAACACGUGAGCAACCUGCCCCGAACUCUGGGAUAAGCGCUGGAAACGGCGUCUAAUACCGGAUACGCACCAGGAAGGCAUCUUCUCUGGUGGGAAAGAUUUAUUGGUUCGGGAUGGGCUCGCGGCCUAUCAGCUUGUUGGUGAGGUAAUGGCUCACCAAGGCGUCGACGGGUAGCCGGCCUGAGAGGGUGACCGGCCACACUGGGACUGAGACACGGCCCAGACUCCUACGGGAGGCAGCAGUGGGGAAUAUUGCACAAUGGGCGCAAGCCUGAUGCAGCAACGCCGCGUGAGGGAUGACGGCCUUCGGGUUGUAAACCUCUUUUAGCAGGGAAGAAGCGAAAGUGACGGUACCUGCAGAAAAAGCGCCGGCUAACUACGUGCCAGCAGCCGCGGUAAUACGUAGGGCGCAAGCGUUAUCCGGAAUUAUUGGGCGUAAAGAGCUCGUAGGCGGUUUGUCGCGUCUGCUGUGAAAACCCGAGGCUCAACCUCGGGCCUGCAGUGGGUACGGGCAGACUAGAGUGCGGUAGGGGAGAUUGGAAUUCCUGGUGUAGCGGUGGAAUGCGCAGAUAUCAGGAGGAACACCGAUGGCGAAGGCAGAUCUCUGGGCCGUAACUGACGCUGAGGAGCGAAAGGGUGGGGAGCAAACAGGCUUAGAUACCCUGGUAGUCCACCCCGUAAACGUUGGGAACUAGUUGUGGGGGCCUUUCCACGGUCUCCGUGACGCAGCUAACGCAUUAAGUUCCCCGCCUGGGGAGUACGGCCGCAAGGCUAAAACUCAAAGGAAUUGACGGGGACCCGCACAAGCGGCGGAGCAUGCGGAUUAAUUCGAUGCAACGCGAAGAACCUUACCAAGGCUUGACAUAUAGAGGAAAGAUCUGGAAACAGUUCCCCCGCAAGGUCUCUAUACAGGUGGUGCAUGGUUGUCGUCAGCUCGUGUCGUGAGAUGUUGGGUUAAGUCCCGCAACGAGCGCAACCCUCGUUCUAUGUUGCCAGCACGUAAUGGUGGGAACUCAUGGGAUACUGCCGGGGUCAACUCGGAGGAAGGUGGGGGAUGACGUCAAAUCAUCAUGCCCCUUAUGUCUUGGGCUUCACGCAUGCUACAAUGGCCGGUACAAAGGGCUGCAAUACCGUGAGGUGGAGCGAAUCCCAAAAAGCCGGUCCCAGUUCGGAUUGAGGUCUGCAACUCGACCUCAUGAAG
rnacentral:rRNA from 1 species